rnacentral:rRNA from 1 species
UACGAGUGCCCCAAGCGUUAUCCGGAAUUAUUGGGCGUAAAGGGUGUGUAGGCGGUUUUGUUAGUCUUUUGUUAAAGCUCCCGGCUUAACCGGGAAAAUGCACGAGAUACGGCAAAACUAGAGGAUGCGAGAGGUAUGCGGAACUCAUAGUGUAGGGGUGAAAUCCGUUGAUAUUAUGGGGAACACCAAAAGCGAAGGCAGCAUACUGGCGCACUCCUGACGUUGAGACACGAAAGCGUGGGUAGCGAAUGGG